rnacentral:rRNA from 1 species
ACAUCCAGCGAACUUGGCAGAGAUGCCUUGGUGCCUUCGGGAACGCUGAGACAGGUGCUGCAUGGCUGUCGUCAGCUCGUGUUGUGAAAUGUUGGGUUAAGUCCCGNAACGAGCGCAACCCUUAUCCUUUGUUGCCAGCGAUUCGGUCGGGAACUCAAAGGAGACUGCCGGUGAUAAACCGGAGGAAGGUGGGGAUGACGUCAAGUCAUCAUGGCCCUUACGAGUAGGGCUACACACGUGCUACAAUGGCGCAUACAAAGAGAAGCGACCUCGCGAGAGCAAGCGGACCUCAUAAAGUGCGUCGUAGUCCGGAUCGGAGUCUGCAACUCGACUCCGUGAAGUCGGAAUCGCUAGUAAUCGUGGAUCAGAAUGCCACGGCGAAUACGUUCCCGGGCCUUGUACACACCGCCCGUCACACCAUGGGAGUGGGUUGCAAAAGAAGUAGGUAGCUUAACCUUCGGGAGGGCGCUUACCACUUUGUGAUUCAUGACUGGGGUGAAGUCGUAACAAGGUAGGCGUAGCGAG